CAGCCGCCACGGUAAUACGAAGGGUGCAAGCGUUAAUCGGAAUUACUGGGCGUAAAGCGUGCGUAGGCGGUGAGUUAAGUCUGCUGUGAAAUCCCCGGGCUCAACCUGGGAAUGGCAGUGGAUACUGGCUCGCUAGAGUGUGUUAGAGGAUGGUGGAAUUCCCGGUGUAGCGGUGAAAUGCGUAGAGAUCGGGAGGAACAUCAGUGGCGAAGGCGGCCAUCUGGGACAACACUGACGCUGAGGCACGAAAGCGUGGGGAGCAAACAGGAUUAGAUACCCCGGUAGUCCCUGUCUCUUAUAC
rnacentral:rRNA from 1 species